UCACAGCAUCGUAUAUAUGUAUGAUGUAAUGCAUGUAGCACAUGGCACAAUGCCUAGAACAUAGUAUUUUCUCAGCAAAUGUUAACACUUUACUGCUUCUACUACUGUUAUAAAUAAUAAAGACUAUCAUGCUAGUUGUUAUUUGAUCUAUAACUGAGCUUACUCUUUUCCAUCCUCCACAGAACCAGCAAACAUUCCAGAAUUCAGGAUGUUCCUGCAAAAGGGGAAGAACUCUGUAAUUUUGUCAAGAUGAUGCCACCACAGUGAAAUGGUGUGUUCCACCUCCAGUUAUUAAUUACCUGGCUUAUUUCACAUAACUGAUCAACUUUGCCUGGCAUGAGAAUGCCCUCCUGCCCCCUGAAUCCAAGUAGAGACCCAGAGAAAUGAGAUGUUGAGUCACAGCAGCACUGAUUUCCUGGUCUAGUCCAUGAGACUCAGGUUCCACAGUUCUUUCAGUUUUCUGAGCCACUCCUGGGCCUCUCCCAGCUGGUCCUGAUUCCCAGUGGACGGACUGAUUGUUUACUUAACAUUCUGCUCUGGGGGCUAUACCAAAAAGCUCAGAAGCCAAGACCCUGAUCAAAG
rnacentral:lncRNA from 1 species